CCCUUAGAUGUCCUGGGCUGCACACGCGCUACACUGAUGUGUCCAGUAAGCACCUAACCUCUUCCGAAAGGAACGGGUAACCUUUGCAAAGCACAUCGUGAUGGGGAUAGAUUAUUGCAAUUAUUAGUCUUGAACGAGGAAUUCCUAGUAAGCACAAGUCAUCAGCUUGUGUUGAUUACGUCCCUGCCCUUUAUACACACCGCCCGUCGCUCCUACCGAUUGAAUGUUCCGGUGAGCUCUUCGGACUGCGCGGUCUGCAGUUUCUGCGUUCCGUGCGGAAAGUUGCGCAAACCUUAACAUUUAGAGGAAGGAGAAGUCGUAACA
rnacentral:rRNA from 1 species